UACGUAGGGGGCUAGCGUUGUUCGGAAUCAUUGGGCGUAAAGAGCGUGUAGGCGGCCCGGUAAGUCCGCUGUGAAAGUCGGGGGCUCAACCCUCGAAUGCCGGUGGAUACUGUCGGGCUAGAGUGCGGAAGAGGCGAGUGGAAUUCCUGGUGUAGCGGUGAAAUGCGCAGAUAUCAGGAGGAACACCGAUUGCGAAGGCAGCUCGCUGGGACGUAACUGACGCUGAGACGCGAAAGCGUGGGGAGCAAACAGG
rnacentral:rRNA from 1 species